rnacentral:rRNA from 1 species
UACGUAGGGUGCGAGCGUUAAUCGGAAUUACUGGGCGUAAAGCGUGCGCAGGCGGUUGAUUAAGUCUGAUGUGAAAUCCCCGGGCUCAACCUGGGAACUGCAUCUGUGACUGCAUCGCUGGAGUGCGGCAGAGGGGGAUGGAAUUCCGCGUGUAGCAGUGAAAUGCGUAGAUAUGCGGAGGAACACCGAUGGCGAAGGCAAUCCCCUGGGCCUGCACUGACGCUCAUGCACGAAAGCGUGGGGAGCAAACAGG